UACGGGGGGAGCAAGCGUUGUUCGGAUUUACUGGGCGUAAAGGGCGCGUAGGCGGUCAGCACAAGUCAGUUGUGAAAUCUCCGGGCUUAACUCGGAAAGGUCAACUGAUACUGUGCGACUAGAGUGCGGAAGGGGCAACUGGAAUUCUCGGUGUAGCGGUGAAAUGCGUAGAUAUACGGAGGAACACCAGCGGCGAAGGCGGGUAGCUGGGCCAACACUGACGCUGAUGUGCGAAAGCUAGGGUAGCAAACGGG
rnacentral:rRNA from 1 species